CGUAACAAGGUCUCCGUAGGUGAACCUGCGGAGGGAUCAUUACACAAAUAUGAAGGCGGGCUGGAACCUCUCGGGGUUACAGCCUUGCUGAAUUAUUCACCCUUGUCUUUUGCGUACUUCUUGUUUCCUUGGUGGGUUCGCCCACCACUAGGACAAACAUAAACCUUUUGUAAUUGCAAUCAGCGUCAGUAACAAAUUAAUAAUUACAACUUUCAACAACGGAUCUCUUGGUUCCGGCAUCGAUGAAGAACGCAGCGAAAUGCGAUAAGUAGUGUGAAUUGCNGAAUUCAGUGAAUCAUCGAAUCUUUGAACGCACAUUGCGCCCUUUGGUAUUCCAAAGGGCAUGCCUGUUCGAGCGUCAUUUGUACCCUCAAGCUCUGCUUGGUGUUGGGCGUCUUGUCUCUAGCUUUGCUGGAGACUCGCCUUAAAGUAAUUGGCAGCCGGCCUACUGGUUUCGGAGCGCAGCACAAGUCGCACUCUCUAUCAGCAAAGGUCUAGCAUCCAUUAAGCCUUUUUUUCAACUUUUGACCUCGGNUCAGGUNNGGAUACCCGCUGAACUUAAGCAUAUCA
rnacentral:rRNA from 1 species